rnacentral:rRNA from 1 species
CCUGGCUCAGGACGAACGCUGGCGGCGUGCUUAACACAUGCAAGUCGAGCGAGACCCACCUUUCGGGGUGGUGUUCUAGCGGCGAACGGGUGAGUAACACGUGGGCAACCUGCCCUCAGCUCUGGGAUAACUCCAAGAAAUUGGGGCUAAUACCGGAUAUGACCGCUGACCGCAUGGUCUGGUGGUGGAAAGAUUUAUCGGCUGGGGAUGGGCCCGCGGCCUAUCAGCUUGUUGGUGGGGUAGUGGCCUACCAAGGCGACGACGGGUAGCCGGCCUGAGAGGGUGACCGGCCACACUGGGACUGAGACACGGCCCAGACUCCUACGGGAGGCAGCAGUGGGGAAUAUUGCGCAAUGGGCGGAAGCCUGACGCAGCGACGCCGCGUGGGGGAUGACGGCCUUCGGGUUGUAAACCUCUUUCAGCAGGGACGAAGCGAAAGUGACGGUACCUGCAGAAGAAGCACCGGCCAACUACGUGCCAGCAGCCGCGGUAAUACGUAGGGUGCAAGCGUUGUCCGGAAUUAUUGGGCGUAAAGAGCUCGUAGGCGGUUUGUUGCGUCGGCUGUGAAAUCCCGAGGCUCAACCUCGGGUCUGCAGUCGAUACGAGCAAACUAGAGUGUUGCAGGGGAGACUGGAAUUCCUGGUGUAGCGGUGAAAUGCGCAGAUAUCAGGAGGAACACCGGUGGCGAAGGCGGGUCUCUGGGCAACAACUGACGCUGAGGAGCGAAAGCGUGGGGAGCGAACAGGAUUAGAUACCCUGGUAGUCCACGCCGUAAACGUUGGGCGCUAGGUGUGGGGCUCAUUCCACGAGUUCCGUGCCGCAGCUAACGCAUUAAGCGCCCCGCCUGGGGAGUACGGCCGCAAGGCUAAAACUC